GGGGAAAUGCCCCGGCAACGCCAAGCUCCGGAACUACAACUCCCAGGAUCCCUUGGGGCAGAAGCCCGGGACAGUGUGCAGGCUCCCUGUGCCUGAGUCCCAGCGUCCUCAGAUGAAUUGGCUUUGCUUUCUAGCCCUCAAGCAGCCGAAAUCUCACCAAACAUGCGGAUUAUACUUGACUUUCUCCCAUAGAACAUUGCCAAAGUCAAGCGUUCCCGUAGAGUGCUCUGCGCACAGAAAGCGUCUGGACUACAUGUCCCAGCAUUCUCUGUAAGGCUCUUUCCCCACCAGCCUAAGAUUUUCCUUUCACUAAACAGGUGAACACUGGGCUUUGUGGGCGCAUCUGUCAUUUCAGUACUCCGGAGGACGAGGCAAGAGUCCUGCGUGGGUUACUGUCUUAGUUACUGUUCUGUUGCUGUGAAGAGACACCACGACCAAGCAACAAAACUCUAAGAAUCAAGAUAUUGAGAAAAGAGAAGAAAAGAAGUAUAAAGUAAUUUGGAGCCUGAGAGACGGCUCAGCGGGUAAAAGCUCUUGCACCUUUGGAAUUUGUUUCCCACUACCCAAGGUGGCAUCUCACAAAUGCCUUCAACUCUAGUGCUAGGAGAUCUGCCGCCCUCUUCUGGCCUCAGUGGGCACUGCAUACGCACGGAAACAAACAGGUUUUCUUGCCAGUGUGAACUGUAUGAUGUCAGGCGGGUUGAUGACUUCAUCAAGAAGCCUUUCCAUGCCGGGCCGUGGUGGCGCAUGCCUUUAAUCCCAGCACUCGGGAGGCAGAGCCAGGUGGAUCAUUGUGAGUUCGAGGCCAGCCUGGACUACCGAGAACCCUGGGUAAAGGCGGGAGCUGGCUCCCACAGAUGGCGCGAGAACUUGGGACGCGGAUGCAGAGGAGAUAAGGGAGAGUUGGGAGCAGUGGAAGCAGUUGGGCAUGCCUGGUUAUGAAUUAUGAAAAGGUUAGGCUGUCGAUGUCAUUCUAAACGGUCUUACUAAAUAAGAAACACAGAGCCAAAUGAAGAGUUAAAAGCCCAGAGAUCGAGCAGUAGCCAAGAGCUGAGACCACCUUAUCUUACCACUUGCUGCUGUCCUUCCCCUGAGAGAGACCUU